rnacentral:rRNA from 1 species
AAUAGAUACCCUGGUAGUCCUAGCCGUAAACUAUGCAUACUUGGUGUAGUCGGACUCAACCCCGACUGUGCCGUAGCGAACGCGUUAAGUAUGCCGCCUGGGGAGUACGCCCGCAAGGGUGAAACUCAAAAGAAUUGACGGGGACCCGCACAAGCAGUGGAGCAUGUGGUUUAAUUCGAUGCAACGCGAAGGACCUUACCCAGACUUGACAUGCAGAAGACAGUAACAGAGAUGUUACCUUCCUUCGGGACUUCUGCACAGGUGCUGCAUGGCUGUCGUCAGCUCGUGCCGUGAGGUGUUGGGUUAAGUCCCGCAACGAGCGCAACCCUUAUCGUUAGUUGCCAACAUUUUAGGUGGGAACUCUAACGAGACUGCCUGGGUUAACCAGGAGGAAGGUGAGGAUGACGUCAAGUCCGCAUGGCCCUUAUGUCUGGGGCUACACACGUGCUACAAUGGCCGGUACAGAAGGCAGCGAAGCCGCGAGGUGAGCAAAUCCAAAAAGCCGGUCCCAGUUCGGAUUGUAGUCCGC